GAAUUCGCCCUUCCUACGGGAGGCAGCAGUGGGGAAUUUUGGACAAUGGGCGCAAGCCUGAUCCAGCAAUGCCGCGUGCAGGACGAAGGCCUUCGGGUUGUAAACUGCUUUUGUACGGAGCGAAACGGUCUGGGUUAAUACCCUGGGCUAAUGACGGUACCGUAAGAAUAAGCACCGGCUAACUACGUGCCAGCAGCCGCGGUAAUA
rnacentral:rRNA from 1 species